GCCAUUUUGUGAAUUUGUUGAAGACUAAAUUUGUGUUAUAUAAUUCGAGUUUUACAAGGUGAAGUGUAACCUGUGUAAUCAAUAGUUAGUAAUGGCCGAGGCGCUCAAAAUAUCGCUGUAUCUGUUCUGUUUAUGGUCGUUUAUGCAAGUUAUUACAGCCGAGUACUGUUACUAUUAUUAUAAGGUAUUCUACACAGACGCAGACACCCGGUAUUGUUCUUAUGGAUGCUGUACUACCGGAAGUAACGCCACUUUUUACAACGUAUGCUGCGUUUACACUUAUGCCAGUACUGCUACCAGUAUCAUCACAGGAAUAGUAGUAGGUGUAGUGGCAUUAAUUAUCAUUAUCAUGGUGGUUGUAUAUGUUAUUGUAUACUGUUACCGUAGACCCGAUCCAGCAACCCAGGGUCUUGUUAUUACAGCCCCAAUCACAGCUGAGGUAUAUUCUAAUACUACUCAAACAAGUACCAUAUAUCCAGGAGUUCGUUAUCCUCCACCAAGCGCUUUUACCCCUCCACAUGGAACUAAUACUUUAUCUUCGCCUCCAACCAGAUAUUCCGAUCCGCCACCAUCUUAUGAUACAGUUAUCUCCCUGGACAGGAUAACACGAGCUCCUCAUGGAACUACUAACUUAUCGUCGGCCCCAACCGAAUAUGCCGCUGCGCCGCCAUCUUAUGAUACAGUUGCCUCCCUUGGACAGGAUAACAAGAGCUCCACAUGGAACUAAUAACUUAUCCUCGCCUCCAACCGGAUAUUCAACUCCGCCAGCAUCUUAUGAUACAGUUACCUCCCCUGAACAGGAUAAAAAGUGCUUUCAAGCACAUGUCUACAUGAAUUAGAUACGAUUUAGAAUGGUUAUUAACUGUAUAUAUAUAUAUAUAUAUAUAGCUAAUAUUGUUUAUAUUAUUUUAUUUUAUUUCCCGGUAAUAUAGAAUUUAAGAAGCCUUCCCACAUACAUUAAUGCAUAGAAACCUUCAUCGUCUGUACUUAUGUCCAGCUACUUUUCCCAGAGAAACACACGGUAAGUUUUUGUAUGCCUUUCACAUAUGUUUGUAUUGUACGAGUUAUGCCCCUUAUAGUGAUUCUCCCUAGGAUGCCUAUUACGUCAGACUGCGUAAUAAAUACUAUCAUAGCUUCGACUGGUUGUUUGUCUCUAUACGCCUCAUCCAUGCAAGCCUGUUUUACAGUUGUCUUGUACUGACAACUCUGUAUAAUACAUGGUGCCAGACGCGGUCUAUUCUUUGAAAUAGAAAGGUUUUAACUACUGGACCCUCUCCCUUUCUGUAGGCUGAAUAGGGUUUUCAUACUGUGAGCUCCGCUUCUUCGCCUCUCGCAGUCGACCGGCAACGCUGGCUGUUACCCGAAUUUGUUUCGGGCAUUUGAGGUUCUGCCCCCGCCCCGCCCCCAUACGCCUGUGCUUUGACCAAUUCAUAACGGUGAACUCUCAGUUCACACUGAUCUCAAUUACGUGGUAAAAUUAUCAAAGCUUUCACCUUCGGAGUGACGGUGGGUACCUAUUUCUGAGAACGGUUAGAUUUUUCCUGGGUUUAGCACGAGUAUUGAAAUUUUGUAAAACUUGUUCUAGCUUCAUAUUAUCAUCUGGAUUGUCCCAAACAAAAUUAUUAUACUUCUCCCUGUGUAUAGACAUAUAAUGGUUCAUCAUAAUUACUGUAUAUAUACAGAGAAAGGUUUAACUGUAUAUAGAAAGAGAACUGUUUAGUAUAUUAGCUGUAUAUAGACAGAUUAUAAUGGUUUAUUAUAUUAACUGUAUAUAGAGAUAAUGGUUUAUUAUAUUAACUGUAUAUAGGCAGAUAAUGGUUUAUUAUAUUAACUGUAUAUAGACAGAUGACGGUUUAUUAUAUUAAUUGUAUAUAGACAGAUGACGGUUUAUUAUAUUAAUUGUAUAUAGACAGAUGAUGGUUUAUUAUAUUAACUGUAUAUAGACAGAUGACGGUUUAUUAUAUUAAUUGUAUAUAGACAGAUGAUGAUUUAUUAUAUUAAUUGUAUAUAUACAACUGGCGGUAGUUUUUACUUUGAUGUCCAUAGCAGUUAUAUCUCAUAACAACCUGUCAUGACUUCAUAGGUUGAUAUAUUCGUUCAUAUCAACCGCUGAUGACGUCAUUACAGGUUGAUAUUUCAUAUCAACCGCUAAUGACGUCAUCUCAGGUCAAUAUAUUCGGCUCAUAUCAACCGCUGAUGACGUAGAUGAUCGAAAUAAUACAAAAAAACACAGAAAUAAAUUUUUAUUCUUUUGACAAUUAAAAUUUGUUAUGGUACAGUUUCUAACAUUCAGGAUCGAAAUAGACGGCGUACUUAUCGACGUACAUGUAUUUAGAUCGGUUAUCCAUGUCUAAGACAUCUUUCAAAAUUUUCUUUUCGUCCACAUUGCGAUUAUUUCUCCACACACUACAAGACUUCAAUGUAUUUAUCGCCCAAGAUGUCGUUUGUAAAGUAUUUUUGGGUACAGUCCACUUAAAAUAGUCGGUCAAAUCCUUCUUUGAACAUACCGAAAACCUUCAAUCAUGGUUCACUGUCAGAAUUCUUGGAAAAGAAUGCCUUUUGGUCCAAAUUUUCUGCAGGCUUUGGAUAGAUCCUCGUCGAUAUUUGCAUUCACAUCUAUUCCAUCGUCAAUAUGUUGGCUUAAAAGGAUUGAUUAUUCGUCUGACUUCGUAUUACUAUCCAUUUUGUUUUUGCUUUCAAUUCAAUAGUCCAAAAUGGCGACGUAUAAACAAAAACAUGCACGUAAUUGCACGUGAUUACUUCGGUAAUUUUCGCUAUUUGGCGGAAACUAUAGAGCAAUUAUCCAAUCGUUGUUGCCUUUUAAUGGAAGAGUCCAUUAAAUUUAAGGGUGAAAUGGCGUUGUAUAUGUCGGAUAUAAACCUACUCUCCCUCGGAUUGAUAUGGUAGAGAACGCUUGGGCUUCGCCCGCGCGUUCUAUACCAUAUCAACCUCGGGUAGGUUAAUAUCCUAUACAUAAACAGAUGAUGGUUUAUUAUAUUAAUUGUAUAUAGACAGAUGAUGGUUUAGUAUAUUAACUGUGUAUAUAGAGAGCUGUUUAUAAUAUUGUCUGUAUAUAGAUAAAGAAUUAAUUAUUAUAUUAAUAUUGGUGUCAGUCAUUAUCGCAUAUAUGAUAGACCUGGUAAUAAACACGUUCUAAAUAUAAUUUUAACACAAAGCUCAUUGCUAUGAUA